rnacentral:lncRNA from 1 species
UGGGCAAGUCACUUAAACCCUGUUUGCCUCAGUUUCUUCUUCAGUAAAAUGAGCUACAGAAGAAAAUGACAAACUACAUCUUUGCCAAGAAAACCCCAAAUGGGGUCAUGAAGAGUUGAACACAACUGAAAUGACUGAACAACAACCUGGACUCCUCCAUCAAUGAAAAGGAUGCACAGGGCUCUCUCAUUCACUGCUAUUUCAUGAUGGCCCACUGAUUGCUGGGAAGACAGCUGGAGUCCUUCCAUUGAAGAGCAAGCUGACAGACACAGCCCUCUAGAGAGACCUAGAAAAAAUAAGGUCCUUCACCCUUCUGGUUGCCAUCCUUUAGACAAGACUUCUCCAGAAGUCCUCUGAAUUUUCCAUUGAAGACUUCC